GCAAAGUAGAUUGCUCAGUCGGCAGAGCAUGAGACUCUUAAUCUCAGGGUCAUGUGUCUGAGCCCCAUAUUCGGCA